GGAAGUAAAAGUCGUAACAAGGUUUCCGUAGGUGAACCUGCGGAAGGAUCAUUACUGAUUUAGCGAACCGAGCGUUAGCGAGGUUUUGCGAUCAACUUGUAUUUAAAACCCUACUCUUCAAUGUAUAAAAUUUGUAUUAAUGAUAAAUUAAAAGAUCACUUUCAACAACGGAUCUCUUGGCUCUCGCAUCGAUGAAGAACGUAGCGAAGUGCGAUAAGUAAUGUGAAUUGCAGUAUUCCGUGAAUCAUCGAAUCUUUGAACGCAUAUUGCACUUUCUGGUAUUCCGGAAAGUAUGCCUGUUUGAGGGUCAGUUAAAUAAAAAUCGGUGUUGUUGCCGCUUUUCGUGGUGACGCGUCGGAAUUGAGUCGUCUUCGGUUAAGUGACUUAAAAUUUUAUAUGAUUUUCGAACGUAUUUAAAUUUAUUUGAACGUUUGAUAUCGAAUGCUUAUUAGGUUCGGUCAUCCUCAUGACUCGCGCCUAUAAUUUUUCAUUAAAUGACCUCAAAUCAGGUAAGAAUACCCGCUGAACUUAAGCAUAUCAAUAAGCGGAGGA
rnacentral:rRNA from 1 species